rnacentral:rRNA from 1 species
GUGGGGAAUAUUGGACAAUGGGCGAAAGCCUGAUCCAGCCAUGCCGCGUGUGUGAAGAAGGUCUUCGGAUUGUAAAGCACUUUAAGUUGGGAGGAAGGGCAGUAAGUUAAUACCUUGCUGUUUUGACGUUACCGACAGAAUAAGCACCGGCUAACUUCGUGCCAGCAGCCGCGGUAAUACGAAGGGUGCAAGCGUUAAUCGGAAUUACUGGGCGUAAAGCGCGCGUAGGUGGUUUUGUAAGUUGGAGGUGAAAUCCCCGGGCUCAACCCGGGAAGUGCACUUGAUACUGCGUGGCUUGAGUACCGAAGAGGGUAGUGGAAUUCCAGGUGUAGUGGUGAAAUACGUAGAUAUCUGGAGGAACACCGGUGGCGAAGGCGGCUACCUGGUCGAGUACUGACACUGAGACACGAAAGCAUGGGGAUCAAACAGGAUUAGAAACCCUUGUAGUCC